GGGGGGGGUGGGGGGGUGGGUGGGGGGUGGAGGUCGGGCGAGCGGGUGAGGAGCUUGCUCCUCUGACGUUAGCGGCGGACGGGUGAGUAACACGUGGAUAACCUACCUAUAAGACUGGGAUCACUUCGGGCAACCGGAGCUAAUACCGGAUAAUAUAUUGAACCGCCUGGGUCACUCGUUAAAGACGGUUUUGCUGUCCCUUAUCGAUGGAUCCGCGCCGCAUUAGCUAGUUGGUAAGGUAACGGCUUACCAAGGCAACGAUGCGUAGCCGACCUGAGAGGGUGAUCGGCCACACUGGAACUGAGACACGGUCCAGACUCCUACGGGAGGCAGCAGGAGGGAAUCUUCCGCAAUGGGCGAAAGCCUGACGGAGCAACGCCGCGUGAGUGAUGAAGGUCUUCGGAUCGUAAAACUCUGUUAUUAGGGAAGAACAAAUGUGUAAGUAACUAUGCACGUCUUGACGGUACCUAAUCAGAAAGCCACGGCUAACUACGUG
rnacentral:rRNA from 1 species